rnacentral:tRNA from 1 species
GGGGAUAUGGUUUAGUGGUAUAAUGCUUCCUUAGCAGCUUCAAGUUGUAAUAAUUGGAAGAGGUCCCGAGUUCGAUUCUUGGUGUCUCCA